AUUGAACGCUGGCGGAAUGCUUUACACAUGCAAGUCGAACGGCAGCACGGGAGCUUGCUCCUGGUGGCGAGUGGCGAACGGGUGAGUAAUAUAUCGGAACGUAUCCAAUAAUGGGGGAUAACUAGUCGAAAGAUUAGCUAAUACCGCAUACGCCCUGAGGGGGAAAGCUGGGGAUCUUCGGCCCUGCCGUUAAUGGAGCGGCCGAUAUCGGAUUAGCUAGUAGGUGAGGUAAAAGCUCGCCUAGGCGACGAUCAGUAGCUGGUCUGAGAGGACGACCAGCCACACUGGAACUGAGACACGGUCCAGACUCCUACGGGAGGCAGCAGUGGGGAAUUUUGGACAAUGGGCGCAAGCCUGAUCCAGCCAUUCCGCGCGAGUGAAGAAGGCCUUCGGGUUGUAAAGCUCUUUCGCAAGGGAAGAAAACUUAUCCUCUAACAUAGGAUGAGGUUGACGGUACCUUGAUAAGAAGCACCGGCUAACUACGUGCCAGCCGCCGCAGUAA
rnacentral:rRNA from 1 species